CCUGUAAUCAGGAAGCUGACUCUUUGGCUGCUGCUUGUUGUGUGCCCAGCUCCAUUUGCCCAGUCUGCCCGCCUCUGUGAUCCCCCGCAGCACCGGCUGGAAGCGCGCCGUGCGUCAGUGAGGAGCUGCUGCAGAAGAAAGAAGAAGAAGCGGCGUGGGGAUGCGGGAGGCAGGAGCGAGCAAGAAGACCAUUCUAUUGACUGUCAAUCUCAUUCAAUUAAUUUGUCUUUUGGAUCUACAGUUGAAAUGUUUCUAUUGCUAUUGGGAAUUCCUAGUUGACACUGUAUACCUUUGAAAAUAAAAUUUAUUUGCAUGUU